rnacentral:rRNA from 1 species
UCACUUAUCCGGAGGUUUAUCUUUGAAACGCAACUACUCAGAACCUUACAGCUGUGAAUCUACCACAGGUGUGUUCGAGCUCAUCGUCCGAAUAGGUAGACAUCGGACAUGACAGGAUAUAUAUUUCUGAGAUCGAUCGGUGAGUAGGGGAGUAGUGUUUUCUUUUCCUUCGUAAUAACGUGGGUUUUUGAGUCGACGAUUCUCGCUCGUUACCUGGUGCGUUGUCCACGGUACCCGUCGGACGAGGAGUUCGAACCGUUUGAGGAGUUCCUUCUCAUGCUGGACGUCUCUCCGUAGUUCCUUCUAUAGGUCAUAGAGCUCUCUCUCGACCUCUCGUACGUUCGACGGGAGGCGUUCCAGCCGCUGCACGGUGCCCUGGUCGAGCUGCUCGUUCAGUUCGAGACCCGUUUGCUCCAGUUUCUAGAAAGUAUGUCUUACCUCCUAUAGUAGCUGUUCAAGGACCAUGCACAACUCCCGGGACUCGGACUGCUGUUCGUCGUGUUCGAGUUUGUUGAGUAGUUCUUCUACCCGCUGAACAAGUGGUUCCCGUUCGGUUCGGUACAGUAGCGUUUUCUCUAGUUUUCGUACUUCCGGGCGCAGGUCCCUCGACGACUGGCCGCACUAUCCAUGUCCCAGGUGCUCCACCAACGAUUAGGUCAACCGCGUUGGUGCCAGCUGGGAGCGGACAACCGAGAUAUGUUCCUGUCCUUUCUCGAGCAACCGUAACUACUAAGUUACUUACUCGACUGGUUCUUCGACUCACAGCCCCUACCACUACACAGGUUUGUUGAGUUCUAUGAGAGACAAAAACCUAAACCUCCGGAACCGUUCUGUUGAGAACGGUUUCGUCACAUAUUAUUCUAUGCUAGCGUCAAGCUGACACCACGAAAACAUGGUCAGCCCGCCUUGGGAUCAGACUUCUUAUAAAAUUUACUACAGGAGGAACUCUAACUACCCGUUUUCGUACUGUUGAACCUACUUUCUGUCGAGUAGUUGUUCGAGGUUCCUAAUGAGGCCCUCUUCUCCAUGUAGUAACAAUAACUACUAUAUACCCUUUGUUUUUGUACCCUUUAUCAAUCCACGUAAAAACACGUAUUAUUAAACCCCUCGUUCUAUUAGUGUUGAUGGGCAUAAGUACUUCAGCGACGUUUUCGGCCACUUUAUAUGUUCUAUUUUGGUGAGAGAGUACGAAAUAGACUCCUCAAUAAAACAUGAUCUAAUAAAAUACCUUCUUUACAUACGUGAAGACUAGUCGGUCUUCUCCGUAUGUUGUUCUAAAACGUUUUUACACCACCGCAUGGAAACCGAUAUUAGUGUUAUCGUUCAAACGAACAACCAUUUGGUCACCUCCAAACCAGAUUCCAUAUGUUGAGUUAACCAAAACCCGUACUUCUAUUACUUCUACAGCUAUUGUGCUCUUUCUAUCAAAAUAAAUCGAUGAUACGAGAUGGAACAGUAGACUCCUGUACGAAUAAUAUAUACUCGGUUAUAGCUCUUCUAAGUAUAUAAGAUUUUCUAUCAAACUAUAGUUCCACCCAACCACUUCCAAAACAGGUUCUUCUUGUUCCCCGCCCUAACAAACUCUAGCGACUCUCUAUAAAGUUGCUCGACCAAUUGUUUUCGUAGAACGUCGGUCGUCUCUAAGACGUGGUACCGUAGUAUUCAGUAACAAGACAGGUACUAUACCAGGAACUAUACCAUGCAGAUAACCGAUUCCUUCUUUUGAAAGAGUGAUAUCACCUAUCAGUGCUCGUCGUUUGUAUAGGUCAUAUGGCGUUAUAAGCAUCCGACCGGUAAGCUUUAUUUUUGGCAGACCAACUGUGUGUGUACGGUGUUCAUUCCUGUAAAUUAAGGUACACGAAACUACUUACAGUGGGUAGCGAAAGUACGAAAGUCAAAAAUGCACAGGAUAGAGAUCGUCCACCGUAAAGAAUAUAUCUGUGGUGUUUAGUAGACCUUGCAGAACCUUUCAACCAGGUGAACUCCAUAGAACCUGAUCGCGUCUACUUAUAGGUACUCGAGGGUUUCCUUUAUCCCCUGGAUUUCAAGAAUGUGUGUGAUCUGAAGGAACUCCAAUCUGAUGUUCUUAACGGUGUCUCACAACCAGUCGAUUCAGCGGACUUCACAGACACCGAACUUCGGUGGUUGUGUUCUCAGGGUCUGACCUAGCCCUUGGACUGUAGAGACCUUUACGAUACGCACUUGUCACAACUUCUAAGGAGCUUGAAACACUUACUCUAACCGUUUGAACGUCUCGACUCCUUUGAGGCGUAACCACCUUCAAAUACAGACGGGUCACGCCGGUACCGUUUUCGAACCCGCCUCAGUGAACACUUUGACGUCUUUUAGGUUCAGUAUCUGUAACGAACGUAACUCAGUCCACCCAUACUACUACAGUGGACGAGGACCCUUCCGAUACGGGAGAGAGCUGUCGAGGCACAAGACGUGAACAGCAUGUCUGUUGGUCCCAACGAUCGUUCCUAAUUAGGCAACGAAGAAGGUUCGGAGAGAUUAAAUCUUCAUGUGCACCUGCGAGGUCUAGAAGUCUAGAAACCUUACAAAGGUCUCGACCAGUGAGAAUUCGACUUGUGGGGUUAGCCGGAGGUGGUAUUACGGUACCCUCGACAUCCACGAAAGGGGUUCGAUUCUCAAAAGUGAUGCGCACCUUGCGGGCCGGCCAAACACUUCCCUCUAUACGGUACGGAACUUGUGGAGCUCAAGGCGUAGUUAAAACACGUCCUUAGGUUAGAACUCAAACUGAAACGAUCGAACCACUUGGAGGGAAACGAAGUCUUUCAAUUUCGGAUAUAUCACGUACUAGGACGAUAGCAGGGAGCACGCCUGGAGGUGUUCCGUCACCUUCACCGUUCCGUACGCUAAUUGUAGGAAGGGCUGGGAAGGUAUGAACUGAAGAAACGCUACGGCUAGUCAAGACUGACUCGAUUCGAUCGAUCAACACGUACCUAGAGGUGGAUGUAGUUCCGACCGUAGACCACAAUUAUUUGAUGGUGCCUCUUUUCUUUUCCUGUUGUUCUCUUUAAAGCCAAACAAACGAAAUAAACCUUUUGUUAUUUUUUUUACAGCAAACAUUGUUUCCAUUUUAUUUUACCGUUUUUUUCUCACAAACAAAUCAAAUAGCGGAAGACGUCGUUUCUUUUUUUAGUGUUUUUUUUGAAGCGAACAACCAAAACAAUAGAUAACAUCGUUUCAUCUUUACUUUUAGUGUUUUUUUUUACAAAUCAACGAAACACCUUAGCUCAUCGCAAAUGAAGGUCUUUUUUUUUAGGUUUUUUGUUUCCUAGAAGCGCAAAAGCAUGGUGAAUACAACACACACAUAAACUCAAACAAAGAACCCAAAACCAAAACCCCCAGUCUACAAACAGAUAUGCACAAAAAGUCAACCUUCCCCCACCCCCACCACAUUGCGACGGAUACGGUUAUACUACAAUGUGAAGUACAACGUAUCGGCCAGGGUUCGGGCCUUUUUCCUCCCUGGUUUGUAGAUGAUUAAUUGGUUUACACCACUACGGUAAAAUACAAGAAUGCCAACUAACAUAGGAAAUAAACAUAACAAACAAGAAAUAAAAGAAUUUAUGGAACAAGCCCAUAUCUUGUAGAAUCAAGUCGUAUGGAUCACUAAGUCCCAACUGAUAAAGACUUGCGAGUUCCCGAAUAAACACUUGUUUAGCAAGGGGUUCCUUAAUACGGUUCUUCUGCUCGUAGACCAAAAGAAACAUCCGAGAGAGACGGUGUGUUUAGGAACUGAGGAAAAAGUACAGAGCCUCUCUCGUAGAGUCUGUUCAUUAAAAAAACAUACAUGUCAUCAGAGUCGUCUUUUUCUGAAGAUAGCAGUAGACCUUUUAAUUGAAGUACUAGUAAAGAAUCAGAGCGAGAUUUUACGAAAAGUCUCCAAUCAGAGUGGUCAUUAAGAAACAAAGAACUGUCUUGGCCUCAUACGUCGAAAGCCUACUACUUAUGUACCAAUGAGAAACCUUUAUUGACUUCGUGAUGAAGAUACCUUCACCUCACCUCAUAUUUAUAAAGAAGGAAGAGACCGGGUUACCAAAGAAACUAAAGUAAAGGUAAAUUACAAUGAAAAAAGACUGCCACUCGAGAAGGUACAGGUCUGCGUAUACUUUAGAAGCAUUUAUUGUCGGACAGGUGUUUCGAUAUACCUCUGCGACAACGCGACGACCCAAUCGAGAAGGUACGGGUCUGCGCAUGCCUUAAGAGUUUUCGACGGCAACCCUCUACCAGAUCACCUUGUCUCCUGACCGGUUCCAUCUUUUACAACGACCCAACAUUCGUAUCUAUCGGGAAGUCGUCUCAACACCAUAGGUUACGUUUGUUACACGUUUUUCCCGACCGGAGGGAGGAUGGUCUCUGCAUCGGAUAUGGUGUGCGCCGACUGUGCGGGUAAAAGAGGCGCACAGUGCCGGGUGGGAGAUGCGCGGUAGAAACACAGGAACGAUCAGCCGACCCGUGGGGGGGGGGAGGGGUAACAUAAGAGGGUUACUAAGUGAGAUAGAUAGUUACGUUACUAUACGUUUCGAAAACGCAUAAGCGCUUUUUUUACUACGUGUAACAACAUAUUGAAUGGUACUCUAGUAUCUGGCCUAUUGAGGUGGUACUACGUUAUUAAGUUAACACAAAACGUACACUGCCUGUCCAUUCUUAUUUAUCAGAUUGUGAACGGACGUCUUGUUAACCUCAAUGUACCACAAUACUAUAAAUGGUUCUCCAAUCCCUAGCUUACCAUUCGUUCAAGGUAGAACAACGAAUGGAAGGGACCAAGUAUGGGUUCGUGUUCCGACAUGAAUGGUUAAUGUCGCAGUUACAGGGACUACUUGCGAUCAACACGUAAUUGACUUCUAAAGUCUUAGAAAGACGUCGUAUAUAGUAAUAGUCCACGGAACGUUAGGAAAAUAGGGAUAGUGGUAGACACGUAACCUCUUUGUUUUAAUCGAAAGUUAAAACGACUUUUUUCCCUUGUACAUAUGCUUUCAUUACGUCUACUGUCUCCUUUAAUGGGCCACCAGUCUUUCAAACUACACCGUUCAAAGUCAAAGAGUGUUCUGAGUUGUCGGACGUGUGACUUCACAUGAAGGUAACUUCUCUAAGACUACGCGACACCCUCCGGUGUGGCGUAGUAAGUUUCCACGAGACGGACCUACCUGUCUUGACACUGCCGAAUU